GACGAACGCUGGCGGCGUGCCUAAUACAUGCAAGUAGAACGCUGAAGCGAGGAGCUUGCACUUCUUGGAUGAGUUGCGAACGGGUGAGUAACGCGUAGGUAACCUGCCUUGUAGCGGGGGAUAACUAUUGGAAACGAUAGCUAAUACCGCAUAACAAUGGAUGACACAUGUCAUUUAUUUGAAAGGGGCAAUUGCUCCACUACAAGAUGGACCUGCGUUGUAUUAGCUAGUAGGUGAGGUAAUGGCUCACCUAGGCGACGAUACAUAGCCGACCUGAGAGGGUGAUCGGCCACACUGGGACUGAGACACGGCCCAGACUCCUACGGGAGGCAGCAGUAGGGAAUCUUCGGCAAUGGGGGCAACCCUGACCGAGCAACGCCGCGUGAGUGAAGAAGAUUUUCGGAUCGUAAAGCUCUGUUGUAAGUCAAGAACGGGUGUGAGAGUGGAAAGUUCACACUGUGACGGUAGCUUACCAGAAAGGGACGGCUAACUACGUG
rnacentral:rRNA from 1 species